GAAGGGGUGGUGGAAGAGGGGAAGGGUAGAAGGAGGCUACGUGGUGCUGAGGGAGCUGUUUGUAGUGGGGGCCCCCUGGCUGAGCCGGGGGACAGGGAGACAGGUGAGCGUGGCAGGCUGUGCUGGGGAAGCUGGGCGGUGACGGGGUUUUCUCAUUUGGGUGUCCUGGUUGCCCACUCUCGGCUUUCAUAUGUUCGUGGAAGGACCAUGCAGUUAGAUGAAGUCACUUGUGAGGGGAAGAUGGGAUGGUCCCGUAUUCAGAAACCACUGUGUUCUGAACUCUCACUGAGCUCCCUUUGAGCAGAGAGGUCAAUGGCUGAUGAUGCAGGUUCACAGGUAGUAACCACAGUGCACGGUUGUAUUACUUGUGCUGAGCGCUGUGACUAGUCCAGAGAUGCGGCAUUCAAGAUACGGUCCUGGUUUGGAUGAUGUGGGGCAUCAUGUGUAAUAUGUUCCAGCUAUGGUGAUAUCCUUCUUCAGAUCUGCUUUUCUCAGGUAAUUUGAGGUGUGGUCAUAAAAAUUCUGUCCACAGAGAAUGUGUGAUCCAUCCUUUCAGGUGAAGCACAAGGCAUCUCAGUGAGAGCCAGUGCAGCGAAGUGGAGUGCAAGCAUCAGAGCCAGAACUAAUGGAGUGAUUAUUGUUCAGUUUUGAAGCCCGCUCUUGGCUUCAAAAUGUAAAAUGAAAUUUUACAUGUCAUUUCAAAAAAUUCUUUGUUCAAAAGUCUGUUGAGAAGGGUAAUGCCUUGUAGUAGACCAGCUGAUGAGACUGGAAAAAAACAAGUGAGAUUUUAGAUGCACCAGCAUUCAGGCCUGCAAUAGAAGUGGAUGUCUGCCUGAAAUGUUGUUCACCUUGGCCAGUCAUAUCAAUUUUUACUGAUCUCAACAAAUUUCACUGUCCAAUGUUUUUAGCCCACAGUGGUUACAAUAACAGUAUUGCUGCAGUGUGUGCAGUGUGCAGCUUCAACUGGUCUUGCUUGCAUUAAAAUUCUACAAGAGUUUUUUCACCCCUCUUCUUUGCCUGAUUGAAUAAAAUCCUUUUCUUGUAAACUUCUUUUUUAAAUUAUUUAAGUGGGACGAGGGGGGCACAACAACAACAACAACAAAAAAAAACAAGAAAAAGCCCAGACAAAAGGGAGCUUUUGAGACAACCAGCAGGCCUAUACACUUUGCAGUCUUCCAGGAGGAGCGUUGCCAGCUGUGAGCUGCUUCUUUGUGUUGUCUUUAAAGCAACAUACAUACACAUGCUCCACUUUACCAGACUUAAGGUUGGGAAGCAAAAGGAUGCUUUGUGUCAUUGCUGUCUUUUCCAGUGUCCAAACUAGAGCUUGCUUGUCUGUCUUUCCUAUUAUAAAUAGGAAUGGAUGAACGUGUUUUGCCUAAUUUCAAAUCCACUUAAAGUUCAUGGGUUUGAAAUUAAAAACAGAACUCAAAUCUUAUAAGGUUUGUGUUCUGUUAGGAGCUGGCCUUUUGCCAGUACAUGCCUAUUCAUUUAACUUUUAUCCCUGGAAUCAAAUACAUAUCAGUUUGCUAUACUAGGUCGUUUGUACUUCGUUACAUUCUCUUCCUUACCUGUCUUCUGCCUGUUUCAUUGGCAUAAAUUUGUCUCUUUUUAGAAAGUUGCUAGCAUAGGUCUUCAGUCUCAUGAGCAUAAGACUUCUGCUUUGCCUCUUCAUUCUGUUUUUCACUGUUUCAUGUUUAGUUCACAAUGUGUACCUUCUGGCCUACUCCUCUGUAAUAAUACAUCCAAGGUAGUAAAUGAAGGAUGAAAUCUGCACUAGAUAAAGGCAGUAUUUUAGAUGCUAUAUGGUUUUGAAUAUUCCAUAUUCACAGGUGAAGUUUGCUUUAUCCACUAUGGCAGCUGCUCCAGACAAAGAGGUGAAAUAAUCCUGGAAGCUAUACAGAACAGUGAGCAACUGGAUCUUUUUUAGUGCAAAAGUGAUUCCAUUUAAAAAUAAAGCUUUGACCUGUAUUGCCUAUAAUGCAAAUUUCAUCCUCACUGGCUUGCAUUAUGCAAGUGCAUGGAAUCCCAUGCAACCCUGAUGCAAAAAAUAAUGGAAGUCUGACAUGUUGACAGCACAUCAUCUGCAGUAUUGUUUUUUUAUAGGUUAACUUAAUAGUAGUUUGUUGAUCCUGUGUAGGUUCACUUGCUGAUUUUUUCCCCCUGAUAUUUGUAACUAUUAAAAAAGUAAGUAAUGGAGGUUUAUAUGUGUAUAUGUAAAUAUGCACACAUAUAUGCAUAUAUAUGUAAUUUGUUGUUGUUGACAUUGUGAUUGUUUUAGCAGAUAUUUUAAGAGGGGAUUAUUAAUUUAAUAAAGUAUAUCUAUGCUUUCCUUUUGUGAGGAGGAAGUGUUUAUUCUUCCGUAUUUUAUUCUGUGAUUAU